UGGAGAGUCAGGUAAAUAUGGUAACCCUACACUAGCUGGGGAGGGCUCUGAGUUACUACAGAGAAUUCUUUCCCAGGCAUCUGUCUGGUGGGUCUCGCCCACAUUCUCAGGGUCUCACUGGUCACCAGCUUUGGGGUCAGGAAGGAAUUUUCCCCCAGCUCAGCUUGGCAGAGACCCUGGGGAGGUUUCAUCUUCCUCUGCAGCCUGGGGCACGGGUCACUUGCAGGUUUGAACUAGUGUAAAUGGUGGAUUCUCUGUCACUUGACGUUUUUAAACCACGAUGUGAGGACGUCAGUGACUCAGCCAGAGGUUUGGGGUCUGUUACAGGAGUGGGUGGGUGAGGUUCUCUGGCCUGUGAUGUGCAGGAGAUCAGACUGGAUGAUCGUGAUGGGCCCUUCCGGCCUUCAGGUCUACAAGUCUAUAGGGCUGUGUGUGCGUCUGGUGGGUGGGCAGGAGGGACACAAGCGUACAGGCCAGAGAUCAGCAGAUGAAUCCCGCACUGCUGGGGUGGCGACGACAUAGGUGAAUUUUGAGAGAAUUUUGAGAGUCUAGGCGUUAUUCUCCCCCUCCAUAACGAACGGGUCUAAGAACAACCCCAUGACACCUGCAUCUGCCAAACUGAACAGGCAGUUGGAGGCUCCCUGCUUCAGGGCAUUGUGGGAGAACCGUUAGAAAACAGUAGGGAGUUCUGGUUGACUCGAGCAGCUGCUGUGGGGUAGAUACAACGUGUCUCACAACCGAUUACUCUAGCCAGGCAAGGACAAAUUCGAGAGCUGGAUAAGGAAAGAGGGAGGGGCGAGAACACAAUAGGUUGUGCACUGAAACCAAAACCCCCAUCAAAGAAACUCCACGCUCCCCAGCACGCCCUGUUCUGUUCUCCUCCGGGGCCGGGAUGGGAGAGGGAACGAAUUCCGUGUCACUGACAGGUGCUCAUUUCAUGCACCAAUGAGGAGAGGAGAAGAACCGAAUUUAUAUGGUAACAUCUGGAGAUUUGUUGGGAACACAGCCCCUUUGCCCUGGGAGUUUUAUAGAUAGAGUUAAGUCCCUUCCCCAAGGAGCUUGUAGUCUGAAUAGACACAAAACAGACCAGGAGCUGGGGCCGUGGCUAGAACAUGCAAGUGAAAAUAGUGAAGAAUGGAAUAGCCUUUUAGUGAUGUGGUUGGUUGUGAUUGGCUGAAGUCUCAUACGUGUCUGUUACUUACCUAGCUAAGUUUAAUGCAGCUGCUGUCUGAUCUGUUUUUACCCCUAACAGUUUUAGUUUCAUUCUACUUCUAGGAUACGAAAGUUCCCCAGUUAAUUCUGUGUGACAGGCCCGGCUCUGUGUUUAAUCACAAUCCGGGGGCUGGGGGCAUAAAUUUAGGGCUACACACGCCCCUCAAUGCACAGCGAGGUUCCCGCUAGUGUCAGUGGCAGUCUGCAAGGAGAUGAAGGGGAAAAUCUGUUCUUGAUGAAAUAGCUUAAUUCUGAGUUAUAAUUUCUGUGGGUGCCUGUUCCGCCUCACUCACUUGUGUGUGGGGAGCCAGGCAGUUUAUCCCCCCACCGCCCAUGGAAACGUGAUUAGAAUUUUUCUCCCCCCAUGUCGACAAGGCUUUAAUCACAAGGUCACCCUCUGACUCCAAUAAGGCCUCAAGGGCAUCAGCUGCUACCCUGGAUACAAGGAGGCUCUGUUCCCCCUCGUUAGCUCAGCGGUGCGGGAAGAAGGGCUAUUGGGUGCUGGGCUCUUUGGAAAAUCCAAACCCCAGGGGUGGGUUCACUUUCUUUGCAGCUGCAGCCCAUUGCUUACUCACUCAAUUUGUAACCCACUCGCACCCCCAGCUCCUUUUCAGCAGUACAACCCCCGAGCCAGGUAGUCCCCAGUUUGUAGUUGUGCGUUUGAUUUUUCCUUCCCGUGUGCAGUAUUUUGUGCUUGUCUUUACUGAAUUUCAUCUUGUUGAAUUCAGACCAAUUCUCCCAUUUGUCAAGGUCGUUUUGAAUACACAUCCAGCCUCCAAAGUACUUGUGAUCCUCCCAGCGUGGUGUCAGCUGAAAAUUUUACAAGCACCUGAGACAGGACCGUGGUGGAUGCCACUAGAUCCAUGUAGACGUUCCUGCCCUGAAGCUCGGUGAGAAGGUGUUGACGUACCCUGGGUCAUUACUCAGCGCCUGGAACCCGCCCACUUUGCAGUGAUGAUGCAGGCGAAAUCAUCUUGGAACUGUUAGCGAUUAUCUUCAAGAUCUCAUGGAAGGGUCACUGACCUAGUGGAGAAGCAGGAGACGUGAUAUAUCUUGAUUUUAUUACAGCCUUUGACCUAGUCCCACGUGACAUUCUCACAAGCAAACUGAGGAAUGUGGUCUAGAUGAAAUUACUAUAAGGUGGGUGCAAAACUGGUGGAAAGUCUGUGCUCAGAGUGGUUAUCAGUGGUUCGCUGUCCAGCUGAGAGGAUGUAUCUAGUAGGGUUUAGCAGGGGUCAGUUGUAGGUCAGGUGCUAUUCAUCAUUUUCAUUAAUUACCUGGAUAAUGGAGUGGAGCGAAUGCUUAUAAAAUGGGAGGCUGAUCCCAAGCUGGGAGGGGUUGCAAGCACUUUGGAGGACAAGAUUGGAAUUCAAAAUGACCUUGAUCAAUUGGAGAAUUGGUCUGAAAUCAGCAAGAUGAAAUUCAAUAAGGACAAGUGCAAAGUGUUACACAUAAGAAGGAAAAAAAUUAAAUUAACAAUUACAAACCGGGGAAUAACUGGCCAGGUGGUCGUAGUGGGGAAAAGGAUCUGGGGGUUCUAGUGGAUCAAAAACUUGAAUGUGAGACAACAAUGUGAUGCAGUUUCAAAAAAGACUUGAAUAUCAUUCUGGGAUCCACGAAUACGAGUGCCGUGUGGAAGACCGAGGAGGUCAUUGUCCAGCUCGGUUCGGUGCUGGUGAGACCUCAUCUGGGGCACUGUGCCCAAUUCUGGACAUUAAGAAAGAGGUAGAAAAUUUGGAAGAGUUCAGAGGAGAGCAACACAAGUGAUAAAAGGUUUAGAAAACCCGACUUUUGGGAAAGGAUGAAAGAAUUGGAUGUGUGUAGUCUUGAGAAGAGAAGGCUGAGUGGGGACCUGAUAACAGCCUGCAAAUAUGUUAAGGGCUGUUAUCAAGAGGACUGUGAUCAAUUGUUCUCCAGGGCCACUGAUGGUAGGACGAGAGGUAAGGGGCUGAAUCUGCAGCAAGGGAGAUUCAGGUGCAAUAUUAGGAAAAAAUAGAACUCUCAGAGGAGUGAAGCUCUGGACCAGGCUUCCAGGGGAGGUUGUGGAACCCCCGUCACUGGAGGUGUUUAAGACCAGGUUGGACAAACACCUGUCAGGGACGGUCUAGGUUUACUUGGUCGUGCUCAGCGCAGGGGGCUGGACUUGAUGACCUGUGAGGUCCCUUCCCGCCCGACAUUUUUCAGAUCCUAUGUUUGAUGAACUGGUUCUUUGAGGUGUUCAGGGGCAAUUUGCCUCCUUGGACUUUUACUUUUAAGCAUUGUCAAUCCGAAAUAUUUGUUGGCUGAAAAUGGGGUCAGCCCCGGCUCUGGCUGCCGUUCCACCCUGGCUCAGUAAAUGCACAGCACGUAACAAUGGCUCCAAAGCUAAAAGCCUCCAAGGCCCAUCGACGCGAGAGACUCAAGUUCAAUUAAAGGUCUCGCUCCACCAAUCUCACCUGAAAACGUCUGGGAGAAAGGAAACUAGGUCCAUGAAGUGAGAGUGAGGUGAAAGUUCCAGCAUUUAGGAACUGUGAUUGUAACCAAGGCCAACUCAGCCACACCUUCCUCAUUAAACCAGCACAAACUAGUGACAGAGGAUGUGGAAAAAGCUAAUGUACUCAACCCUUUUUUUUGCCUCUGUCUUCACAAACAAGGUCAGCUCCCAGACUGCUGCACUGGGCAGCACGGC